rnacentral:rRNA from 1 species
GACGAUGACGAGUGGCGGACGGGUGAGUAAUGCUUGGGAACUUGCCUUUGCGAGGGGGAUAACAGUUGGAAACGACUGCUAAUACCGCAUAAUGUCUUCGGACCAAACGGGGCUUCGGCUCCGGCGCAAAGAGAGGCCCAAGUGAGAUUAGCUAGUUGGUAAGGUAACGGCUUACCAAGGCGACGAUCUCUAGCUGUUCUGAGAGGAAGAUCAGCCACACUGGGACUGAGACACGGCCCAGACUCCUACGGGAGGCAGCAGUGGGGAAUAUUGCACAAUGGGGGAAACCCUGAUGCAGCCAUGCCGCGUGUGUGAAGAAGGCCUUCGGGUUGUAAAGCACUUUCAGUUGUGAGGAAAAGUUAGUAGUUAAUACCUGCUAGCCGUGACGUUAACAACAGAAGAAGCACCGGCUAACUCCGUGCCAGCAGCCGCGGUAAUACGGAGGGUGCGAGCGUUAAUCGGAAUUACUGGGCGUAAAGCGCACGCAGGCGGUUUGUUAAGCUAGAUGUGAAAGCCCCGGGCUCAACCUGGGAUGGUCAUUUAGAACUGGCAGACUAGAGUCUUGGAGAGGGGAGUGGAAUUCCAGGUGUAGCGGUGAA